rnacentral:rRNA from 1 species
UCUCUUCCAUUCGAUUAGAGAUUGAUCCUGGCUCAGGACUAUCUCUCGCGGUGUGCUUAACACAUGCAAGUGGUGCGACGAACCAGAGCUUGCUCUGGGGCAAAGCCGCGAACGGGUGAGUAACACGUGGGCCAUCUACCCCGAUGACCGGGACAACCCGAGGAAACUCGGGCUAAUACCGGAUGUGGUGUACAGGCUUAAGCCUGUCCACUAAAGGUAGCUUCGGCUUCCGCAUUGGGAGGGGCCCGCGGCCCAUUAGCUUGUUGGUGGGGUCAAGGCCUACCAAGGCAACGAUGGGUAGCUGGUCUGAGAGGACGAUCAGCCACACUGGGACUGAGACACGGCCCAGACUCCUACGGGAGGCAGCAGUGGGGAAUCUUGCGCAAUGCGCGAAAGCGUGACGCAGCAACACCGCGUGAGGGAAGACGGCCUUAGGGUUGUAAACCUCUUUCAGAUGGGGACGAAGGUGAUGCGGUGAAUAGCCGAUGUCAUUGACGGUACCGUCAGAAGAAGCUCCGGCUAACUACGUGGCCAGCAGCGGCGGUAUACGUAAGGGAGCGAGCGUUGUCCCGGAAUCAUUGGGGCGGUAAGGAGCAUGGUAGGUGGAUCAUCCAAGUCUGCUGGUGAAGGUCAAAAGGCUCAACCUUUGGAAGGCGGUGGGAUAACUGUUGGAUCUAAAAGUUACGGGAAGAGGCCGAGGUGGAAUUCCUUGGUGGUUAGGCGGUGGGGAUUGCCGCAGAUAUCCAGGAGGAACACCCAAUGAGCGGA